rnacentral:lncRNA from 1 species
AUUUGAUGUGAUUUGUUAUUGAUGAACAGAGGUUAUCCCUUGCUCAAGUUCUUGUUUUCUAAGCACUUCAACUGAAGUUAAGCUGAUUAUUCUAUAAUUUCCUUCCCCCUUAUUCCCAUACCUGUAUUUUUCAAAGAUAGGCUUUGUAUUUGCCAGUCCUCUGUAACAUCAGUCAUCCCCUGUGAGUGACUGGAGACAAUUCCCUGUGAAUCUGAGUUGCUGAUGUCAUUGAGUUCUGGGGAAGUCUGGCAAGGUGUCUGCAUUGCCUCCAGCGGGGAAUAAUAUGAUAUUAAAAUGUAAGGCAUUGCAGAAUCUGCUUGUCUUCCCACUCUGUGUUGAGAGGACAAAACAAUUAAUUGAAAGAAAAUAAACCAGAACAAACCAUCUCUAGAGCUGCUUUUCUGAGACCAGCUCAGGGCUUGUUUACCUGCUAAUGGUGUUCUGCUGUGCUGUGGUUAUUAGUAAAGUUUUGACCUCAUGGCCUGAAAAAACAGAUGCUGCCUCUUUCCAAUUAUAAACGGGGUUUGAAAUAGUCUGCUGGAGUGGGAAGAGAAGGGCAGCCUCAAAUAGCACAGCCACUCACCCAGGCAGCCGGUGUCCAGCAUCACGGGCUGUUCGGAGGUGGGCCACGUGCUGUGCGUCAUGGUGGUGGGUGUCUUGGCCAAAGUCUGAUAUUCUUUCUUUGCUGAUUUUAGAUUUAAAUAUGGUUUCACUUCCCAAAACCACAAGCUGCCCUGCAGAAAGCUCUUCUGUAACCUGGUGUCAGGCAUUGGACGUGUAGGGUUUAAUUGUGGAGGAUCAGGCCUUUGGGAAGGUGCAGGCAGGUUUGGGUGUUAAUGUGCCCAAUGUGGGGACUCCAGGGGACUCUGGAUUUACUGAGGGAUCAAGAUAACCAAGAAGGUUUCAUGGCUUUAGUUUCUUUGAGGUCUCAGGCACUGCCUGGAGCGAAAUGGAUACAACUGCACAUCCUGGUUUGAGCUGGGAUCGCUUCACGGGAACCCUUGCAAGCGUUUCCCAGGAGGAGAGACGCCAGCAGGAGACCAGGAGUGCUUCUGAGGGCUGAGGAGGUGCAGGC